UACGUAGGGGGCAAGCGUUGUCCGGAUUCAUUGGGCGUAAAGAGCGUGUAGGCGGCCAGGUAGGUCGGUUGUGAAAACUGGAGGCUCAACCUUCAGAGGUCGACCGAAACCAUCUGGCUAGAGACCGGGAGAGGAGAGUGGAAUUCCUGGUGUAGCGGUGAAAUGCGCAGAUAUCAGGAGGAACACCGGUGGCGAAGGCGGGACUCUGGGCCGAUACUGACGCUGAGGAGCGAAAGCGUGGGGAGCAAACAGG
rnacentral:rRNA from 1 species